CUUGUGCUUCUGGGUGCUAUAAGAAAGCUGGCUGAGCAAGCCAGGAGGAGAAAGCUGGGGACUUUGGACAAGUCAGGAUCUGGGACAGAAAGAGAGGCCUUUGUAUUUCCUCAGUCUUCACUCAGUGCAGUAGAAUCAGUUUUAACAACAUUGCUAACGUGUGGGGAACCAAUGAAAUCAUAAUCUUUGUAGAGUGCGCAUGCUCUUUUAGAAAAACAUGGUUCCUGGGGAAAACAACAGCAGCCAGAAUCUGGAGCUCCAAGUGAUCAAGGCACAAGUCUGCUCAGAACCAGCUAUCGCUUCAGUCUCUGCGUUUAGGGCUGGUGCCCACAGAGGAGUCUUAUCUGCCACAAAGCAUCAACCCUGGAAUUAGGCAGGUGAGCUUAGGACCUCAGCCCUCGCAAGCUGCACUUGACAUGUCACAAGAUGGUAGUUAACCAUCUUAACCUGAAACCAGGUAGCUAAACAUCUCCAGCAGAGGUCUCCUUAACCUCCCUGAAGGUCCAAAUUCUACAAAGCAGCUCUUACAAUUUGGGGGCACUGUCAUCACCUGUCAUAGAAGCUAUUGCCAUCUCGGCAGAGGAAGAUGUGGGGACUCAUGGAGGCCGAAGUUCUUCCCUAUUUAGAAGUCCUUAGAGCAAGGAAGUCAGGACUGUGAGGAGUGCGUUUACCCAUUGAGACGGUGGGGCAGAUCUAACGGGAGACCACCAAGUCCAGUUGGAAUGGGACUGAUGGAACAGGGGACCAAACCGGA